rnacentral:rRNA from 1 species
UAGAGAUGAGAGUAGCUGAAUCUGGUGUAGCAGUGAAAUGCGUGGAGAUCAAGAGGAACACUCGUGGCGAAAGCGAGCUACUGGACAAUAUCUGACGCUGAGGCUCGAAGGCCAGGGUAGCGAAAGGGAUUAGAUACCCCUGUAGUCCUGGCAGUAAACGGUGCACGCUUGGUGUGAGGGGAAUCGACCCCCCUUGUGCCGGAGCUAACGCGUUAAGCGUGCCGCCUGGGAAGUACGGUCGCAAGACUAAAACUCAAAGAAAUUGACGGGGACCCGCACAAGCGGUGGAGUAUGUGGCUUAAUUCGAUGCAACGCGAAGAACCUUACCAAGGCUUGACAUGCAUCUCUAAACACGUGAAAGCGUGUGACCCUUCGGGGAAUUUGCACAGGUGCUGCAUGGCCGUCGUCAGCUCGUGUCGUGAGAUGUUGGGUUAAGUCCCGCAACGAGCGCAACCCUUGUGACUAGUUGCCAGCACGUAAUGGUGGGAACUCUAGUCAGACUGCCCAGAUCAACUGGGAGGAAGGUGGGGACGACGUCAGGUCAGUAUGGCCCUUACGCCUUGGGCUGCACACGUACUACAAUGCCCAGCACAAUGAGAACCGAGACCGCGAGGUGGAGGAAAUCUGCAAAACUGGGCUCAGUUCGGAUUGGAGGCUGCAACUCGCCUCCAUGAAGUUGGAAUCGCUAGUAAUGCCGUAUCAUCUACGACGGCGUGAAUACGUUCCCGGGUCUUGUACACACCGCCCGUCACAUCAUG